GACGAAGGAUGCAAGCGUUAUCCGGAUUCAUUGGGCUUAAAGGGAGCGUAGGUGGUCUUAUAAGUCAGUGGUGAAAUCCCCGAGCUUAACUUGGGAACUGCCGUUGAUACUAUCUGUCUUGAAUAUCGUGGAGGUGAGCGGAAUAUGUCAUGUAGCGGUGAAAUGCUUAGAUAUGACAUAGAACACCAAUUGCGAAGGCAGCUCGCUACACGAAUAUUGACUCUGAGGCACGAAAGCGUGGGGAUCAAACAGG
rnacentral:rRNA from 1 species